rnacentral:other from 1 species
ACAAUCCUGUGGUGUGCGAAAUACACGAUGAGCAUUAAAACCCACAAAGAGUAAAAAGGAGCCCGGACUUCCGGCUGGGGGAUGCAGACCUCCCUCCGAUGCCGUGAGACGCAUUCUGCGCCGCCGCGUCGGUAAGGACGCUGGGAGCACAAACCGCUGGAGAGGGCACCGUCCUUGCAUGAGCAGGGUUUCUAAAUGCUCACUGAAACGGCACCACGGGAGUUUU